GCUUGCUGGUGCUGCUGUGAGAUUUAACAUCAGCACGAUGUUCGUAACUCUUGUACGAUGAUGGUGAUAAUGGUGGUGGUGAUGGGGAGGAGGGUGGUGAUGGUGAGAAGAUGAUGGUGGUGGUGGUGGUGAUGAAGAUGGAGGUGAUGAAGAGGAUGAUGGUGGUGAUGAAGAGGAUGAUGGUGGUGGUGAUGAAGAGGGUGGUGAUGAUGAUGAUGAUGAUGAAGACGGUGGUGAUGAAGAGGAUGAUGAUGGUGGUGAUGAAGAGGAUGAUAGUGGUGGUGAUGGUGGUGAUGAAGAGGGUGGUGAUGAUGAUGAUGAUGAUGGUGGUGAUGAAGAGGAUGAUAGUGGUGAUGAAGAGGGUGGUGAUGAUGAUGAUGAUGAUGAUGGUGGUGAUGAAGAGGAGGAUGAUGAUGAUGUGCUGUAAUGAAGUCAGGCGAUAAGGCUGUAAUAGGAAGUGCAGUAGCACAGAGCUCUGGGCUGGGGAAAUCAAUAUCUGUAUGUAUAUAUCUGUAUAUCGGUUUGGUGCGGCGCACUUCUCUCUCUCUC
ensembl:lncRNA